rnacentral:lncRNA from 13 species
CCAUCUUUGCUGCUCCCCUUAAACUCUGCCCACAUCCUUGCAAGUAGUCCCUUUACCAAACUAUUCUCAGUUCCUCAACUUGGUGUGUGUACCAUUGUCUCUUCCCAGGACCAUGACUCACAAAAAUAAUAAAUGAGGUCCCAGCUCUCAUGAAGCGCAGCUUGCACUUGCAUAAGCAGCAGAAAGACUGGAGCAGAUAUCUAUGUUCUGGAAGAGUCACUGGAUGACCGUGAGGUGUAAGACUGUGAUGUGGUGAGGGCAAGGGCUGUUGCUGUCAUCCUCAAGACAGAUGCCGGUGGCCUACAUCAGGGAGGAGCCUUGGAGGACAAGGAGGGAGAACCACUUGGCAAGCCAGGGUCAAGCUCAGUACCUGGAACGCAGUGGAUGCUUGAAUGAACAAACAGAUGAAUGACUAAAAUGCAGAACAAACGCCUAAAUAAAUGGAGGUAAGUGGGCUGGCUGGUCCA